GAUGAACGCUGGCGGCGUGCCUAACACAUGCAAGUCGAACGAAGCACCUUACCUGAUUCUUCGGAUGAAAGUUUGGUGACUGAGUGGCGGACGGGUGAGUAACGCGUGGGUAACCUGCCCUGUACAGGGGGAUAACAGCUGGAAACGGCUGCUAAUACCGCAUAAGCGCACGAGGAGACAUCUCCUUGUGUGAAAAACUCCGGUGGUACAGGAUGGGCCCGCGUCUGAUUAGCUGGUUGGCAGGGUAACGGCCUACCAAGGCAACGAUCAGUAGCCGGUCUGAGAGGAUGAACGGCCACAUUGGAACUGAGACACGGUCCAAACUCCUACGGGAGGCAGCAGUGGGGAAUAUUGCACAAUGGGGGAAACCCUGAUGCAGCAACGCCGCGUGAGUGAAGAAGUAUUUCGGUAUGUAAAGCUCUAUCAGCAGGGAAGAUAAUGACGGUACCUGACUAAGAAGCUCCGGCUAAAUACGCG
rnacentral:rRNA from 1 species